CUUGAUCUAAUAUAAAAAGGGAUAGGAGCUAUACAGGGAUUAGUCUACUAGUUCGGUUCUGAGAUUAUGCAAAUGCAUUUUUAGAAGAUCAUGUUAUUAUCUCAUGGCAACUGCAUAUGAUACUAUUUGAAAGUGUACUAAGAGAACCAACCAAAUUUGUCAAAUAAAAUAUUAAGCAACAUACACAGCACAUAAAAAUGGGAGCAAAAGUAGAGGUGUCACUGUCAUGAUGUAUAGAAAACAAGGAUGUAAAUGUCAGAAAAACACCACAGCUUCCCAAAUUAAAUGAGCAGAAAUAAAAAGAAAAAAACAUAUUAAAUUAAUUAGCCAAUCGCAACAAAUGGGAGAAAAAAGUUAUCCAACGGUGAAGAAUUGCAGAAAAAAAAUAGCACAAUAAGAUUCACACAUAAACUGGAAGUUCAUGUAAAAGAGCCCAUGUAUUUAUGGUCGAGAUUUUGUCAA
rnacentral:lncRNA from 1 species